GCAGAAGGAGGAAGGACAGCACAGCCUACAGCCGUGCUCAGGAAGUUUCUGGAACCUAGGCUCAUCUCCACAGAGGAGAACACACAAGCAGCAGAGACCAUGGGGCCCCUCUCAGCCCCUCCCUGCACACAGCACAUCAAAUGGAAGGGGGUCCUGCUCACAGCAUCACUUUUAAACUUCUGGAACCCACCUACCAUUGCCCAAGUCACGACUGAAGCCCAGCCACCCAAAGUUUCCGAGGGGAAGGAUGUUCUUCUACUUGUCCACAAUUUGCCCCAGAAUCUUACUGGUUACAUGUGGUAGAAAGGGCAAAUAAGGGACCUCUACCAUUACAUUACAUCAUAUGUAGUAGACGGUCAAAGAAUUACAUAUGGGCCUGCAUACAGUGGACGAGAAACAGUAUAUUCCAAUGCAUCCCUGCUGAUCCAGAAUGUCACCCGGGAGGACGGAGUAUCCUACACCUUACACAUCAUACAGCGAGGUGAUGGGACUAGAGGAGUAACUGGAAAUUUCACCUUCACCUUAUACCCGAAGCUGCCCAAGCCCUACAUCACCAUCAACAACUCAAAACCCAGGGAGAAUAAGGAUGUCUUACCCUUCACCUGUGACCCUAAAAGUGAGAACUACACCUACACGUGGUGGCUAAAUGGUCAGAGCCUCCCAGUCAGUCCCAGGGUAAAGUGACCCAUUGAAAACAGGAUCCUCAUUCUACCCAGUGUCACGAGAAAUGAAACAGGACCCUAUCAAUGUGAAAUACGGGACCGAUAUGGUGGCAUCCGCAGUAACCCAGUCACCCUGAAUGUCCUCUAUGGUCCAGACCUCCCCAGAAUUUACCCUUCAUUCACCUAUUACCGUUCAGGACAAAACCUUUACUUGUCCUGCUUCGCGGAAUGUAACCCACCGGCAUAGUACUCUUGGACAAUUAAUGGGAAGUUUCAGCAAUCAGAACAAAAGCUCUUUAUCCCCCAAAUUACUACAAAGCAUAGAGGGCUCUAUGCUUGCUCUGUUCGUAACUCAGCCACUGGCAAGGAAAGCUCCAAAUCCAUGACAGUCGAAGUCUCUGGUGCCUGCCAUGGAGACCUGGCAGGGUCUCAUUCGUGACUGCCAUAACAGAGACACUGAGAAAAAGAUGCAACCAUGGAAAGGUGCAAAGGUGGCAAGUUCUAAUGACAUAGAAAAUAGCAAUCAGCCUUUCUCACAUCUGAAAGCCUUCCAAAAUAUCUGAGUGCAGUAGAGAAUUGACAGAGGACUGAUCACCAACCUAGAAGUAUGCUCCUCCAGGAAUAGGACGUCUUCCUUUCUUUACUCCAAUAGAGCAGCGGUGAUGUCAUUUCUGUAUUUCAGGAAGACUGGCAGGAGAUUUAUGGAAAAGACUCUGACAAGGACUCUGGAAUACAAGCUCCUGAUAACUUCAAGAUCAUACCACUGGACUAAGAACUUUCAAAAUUUUAAUGAACAGGCUGAUACCUUCAUGAAAUUCAAGACAAAGAAGAAAAAAAACUCAAUUUUAUUGGAAUAAAUAAUCAAAAGGAUAAUGUUUUCAUAAUUUUCUAUUUGAAAAUGUGCUGAGUCUUUGAAUGUUUUAUUCUCCAGAUUUAUGAACUUUUUUCCUUGAACAAUUGGUAAAGUAUACUUUUGUAAACAAAAAUUGAAACAUUUGCUUUUGCUGAGUGCCCCAGAAUUGGGAAACUAUUCAUGAGUAUUCAUAUGUUUAUGGUAAUAAAGUUAUUUGCACAACUUCA